rnacentral:rRNA from 1 species
AGGAUGAACGCUGGCGGCGUGCUUAACACAUGCAAGUCGAACGGGAAACUUUUCAUUGAAGCUUCGGCAGAUUUGGUCUGUUUCUAGUGGCGGACGGGUGAGUAACGCGUGGGUAACCUGCCUUAUACAGGGGGAUAACAACCAGAAAUGGUUGCUAAUACCGCAUAAGCGCACAGGACCGCAUGGUCCGGUGUGAAAAACUCCGGUGGUAUAAGAUGGACCCGCGUUGGAUUAGCUAGUUGGCAGGGUAACGGCCUACCAAGGCGACGAUCCAUAGCCGGCCUGAGAGGGUGAACGGCCACAUUGGGACUGAGACACGGCCCAGACUCCUACGGGAGGCAGCAGUGGGGAAUAUUGCACAAUGGGGGAAACCCUGAUGCAGCGACGCCGCGUGAAGGAAGAAGUAUCUCGGUAUGUAAACUUCUAUCAGCAGGGAAGAUAGUGACGGUACCUGACUAAGAAGCCCCGGCUAACUACGUGCCAGCAGCCGCGGUAAUACGUAGGGGGCAAGCGUUAUCCG